GCGGCGGACGGGUGAGUAACGCGUGGGUAACCUGCCCUAAAGCCCGGGAUAACACCGGGAAACUGGUGCUAACACCGGAUACCUUCCGAAGAGGGCAUCCUUUUUGGAAGAAAGGUUAACGCUUUAGGAUGGGCCCGCGUCCCAUUAGCUAGUUGGUGAGGUAACGGCUCACCAAGGCAGUGAUGGGUAGCCGGCCUGAGAGGGUGGACGGCCACACUGGGACUGAGACACGGCCCAGACUCCUACGGGAGGCAGCAGUAGGGAAUAUUGCGCAAUGGGCGAAAGCCUGACGCAGCGACGCCGCGUGGGUGAUGAAGGCCUUCGGGUUGUAAAACCCUGUCCUUGGGGAAGAAGGAAGUGACGGUACCCAAGGAGGAAGCCCCGGCUAACUACGUGCCAGCAGCCGCGGUAAAACGUAGGGGGCGAGCGUUGUCCGGAAUUACUGGGCGUAAAGGGUGCGUAGGCGGCCUUUUAAGUCAGAUGUGAAAGACCACG
rnacentral:rRNA from 1 species